rnacentral:tRNA from 1 species
UGGCUUAGAGGUUCAAGUGUCUGCCUGGAAUGCAGGAGACCCAGGUUCGAUCCCUGG